AGGAUUCAUCAACAAAAGGAGACAAAAUGUUAUCAAUUUAUGACAAUAGAGGCCAAAAAAUCAAGGACUCCUGAUCUUCUAUGGAAAACUUUCAUUCAUAAUGAGAAUACAGCAAAUGACUCAGAAUCAUGUCGUCAACCAUCAAAAGCACUUAGCUCUGCAAAAGAGUCAUUGAAAUCAGAAUUAAAU